rnacentral:lncRNA from 1 species
AUGCUCACGGCAGCCAGCACUGGGGAUGCAAAAAACUCAAACCUCACCAAAGCUCAACCCCAGCCUAGGGGUCGCCAGCUGUCCGGGGCGGCCAAGGGCUCCCUCCCGCCCUGCAAGGGGCACCCCGCGGACGCCGGGGCGACACGCGCCUCCCGGGACGUGGCUCCGGCUUCUGGCACCUGGGCACUUCCCGCCCUGGGCACAGCCGUGCGGGGCUUCGAGACGCCGCUUCCCGCACGUUUAGAAAAACACACAUGGAAACGGGUGACCGCUGGGGGCGGAGAGGGCCGGCGGCCCCCCCACGCCGAGUCCGCGUGCUCCCGCGACCCUCCUGCCGUCAGCGCACGAGCUGAGGAGACGCGGGGCGCCGGCGGAGGACGCCCGCUUCCCCCUCCGAAGGCCCGCAUCCCGCCUCAGCCGGUUCCAGCUGCUUCCAGCCAGCCCCUGCUCCCUCCUCAGGACGCCCGGCUGCGGACACUCACCAUGUCCCGGGCGGCCCCGCCGGCCCCAGCGCCACAGCCGAGGCUGCGGAGACCCGGGAGACCCGUGAGGCGGCCCGAGGCCGCUCACCGCCCACGUGACACGGGCGGGGCGGGGCGCGGCUCCCGAACACGCCGCCGGCGGGACGUAGCCUCGCCCACCUCUCAGAAAGCGCUCCUGAUUGGACGGUCCUCGAGGCCCCGCCUACGGAGGCCCCAGACGGACAGGUUCGGAACGCUGGCCUCGCGUAGGGGCCACGCGUUGGCGGUCAGCGUCCGCUUGUCGCCAGCCCUCUACGCGGGCCCUGGCGGCCCUCCCGCCGCUGUUUCAGAUCGUGGGGGCGGGGGGGACUCGAAGCUGCACGGGGCUCAGCUUAUGAACGUUGCCCUUUAUUAUUUUUUUAAUCCAUUCUUCCUUCACGAAGCCUGUGGUUCCAGCUACGCUGUUGUGAAUGCCAUUGCUGCAGACGGCCGGGUGUUAGGCACAGAGACCCCGUCUCAUUCUGCGGUGCCCGGGUUCGAGUCCCAACUUCCAUCCGAGGCCAGCUCCCUGCGCAUGCGCACCCGGGGAGGCAGCAGGUUGCGGUUCAAGUACUGGGGUCCUUGCCGCCCCCGUGGGGGACCCGGAUGGAGUUCCGGGCUCCUGGUGUUGGCCUAG